GGCUUGGUGGCGUAAUGGUAAUGCACUCCGAAUGCAUAUUUUUGUAUUGAUUGGUUGCGGAGAGUCCGGAGUUCAAUUCUCCGUCAAGCCG